GACGAACGCUGGCGGCGUGCUUAACACAUGCAAGUCGUACGGUAAGGCCCUUUCGGGGGUACACGAGUGGCGCACGGGUGAGUAACACGUGAGUAACCUGCCCACAACUUUGGGAUAACGCUAGGAAACUGGUGCUAAUACUGGAUAUGUGCUCCUGCUGCAUGGUGGGGGUUGGAAAGCUCCGGCGGUUGUGGAUGGACUCGCGGCCUAUCAGCUUGUUGGUGGGGUAGUGGCCUACCAAGGCGGCGACGGGUAGCCGGCCUGAGAGGGUGACCGGCCAAAUUGGGACUGAGAUACGGCCCCGGCUCCCAAGGGGGGCAGCCGGGGGGAAUAUUGACACAAGGGCGGCAGCCCGAUGGAGCCACGCCCGCGGGGGGAAGAACGGCUUUGGGUUGUAAACCGCUUUCAGCAGGGACGAAGCUUUUUGUGACGGUACCUGCAGAAGAAGCAACGGCUAACUACGUG
rnacentral:rRNA from 1 species